CCCGGUCGCACCACAGUGACGCAAAAGCCCAGCCUCCCAACCCCGCCUCCGCCCUCCCGCCAGCGUGUUGCCCGGAGACUGAGUUCGAAAAAUUACCAAGCUAAUUCUAAACUGACACGGAAGUGCAGUAGGAUCUACAGUAGCCAAAAUUUUGAUCAAGAAAAGCGAAGUUGUUAUACUACCUGAUUUUAAGAUGCUUCAUCAAAGUAGACCAGAGCUCCUUGGAGAAGUAAAUGGCUGAUAACACGUCUGGAACAGAUCAAGAACAAGGUGAGCCUGAGACAUGUUAUUAUGCCAGAAAAUAAGGAUUUGAUCAAAUACUAAAGAGAUUAUGGAUAAAAGCCAACUAAAAGGGGCUCCUACUUGCCAAAUUUGGGAUACUUUGAGCAUCAAAAAGGAUAAAAAUUGUGUUCUGGCUGGUGUGGCUCAGCAGUUUGGGGCAUCAUCCCAUGAAACUGAAAGCCUACAGGUUUGAUUUCCAGUCAGGGCACAUGCCUAGGUUGCAGGUUUGGUCUGGCCAGGGUGCAUAAGGGAGACAAGGAAUCGAUGUUUCUCUCUUGUUAAGUGGUCCCAGGCCCGGCACUAGCAGCAGCCAGUCUAGAGUCACAGCUUGGCUUUACCUGUGAAUCUCUAA